GAUCAUGGCUCAGGAUGAACGCUAGCUACAGGCUUAACACAUGCAAGUCGAGGGGCAGCAUCAUCAAAGCUUGCUUUGAUGGAUGGCGACCGGCGCACGGGUGAGUAACACGUAUCCAACCUGCCGACAACACUGGGAUAGCCUUUCGAAAGAAAGAUUAAUACCGGAUGGCAUAAUUAUUCCGCAUGGGAUAAUUAUUAAAGAAUUUCGUGUUGUCGAGGUGGGGUAUGUCCGUU
rnacentral:rRNA from 1 species